rnacentral:rRNA from 1 species
GACGAACGCUGGCGGCGUGCUUAACACAUGCAAGUCGAACGGAAAGGCCCUGCUUUUGUGGGGUGCUCGAGUGGCGAACGGGUGAGUAACACGUGAGUAACCUGCCCUUGACUUUGGGAUAACUUCAGGAAACUGGGGCUAAUACCGGAUAGGAGCUCCUGCUGCAUGGUGGGGGUUGGAAAGUUUCGGCGGUUGGGGAUGGACUCGCGGCUUAUCAGCUUGUUGGUGGGGUAGUGGCUUACCAAGGCUUUGACGGGUAGCCGGCCUGAGAGGGUGACCGGCCACAAUGGGACUGAGGUACGGAGCAGACGCGUACGGGAGGCAGCAGUGGGGAAUAUUGCACAAUGGGGGGAAGCGUGAUGCAGCAACGCCGCGUGCGGGAUGACGGCCUUCGGGUUGUAAACCGCUUUCGCCUGUGACGAAGCGUGAGUGACGGUAAUGGGUAAAGAAGCACCGGCUAACUACGUG